CUGAAGCCACCAGCCCAGGGGGCCCAGUGUAGGAGUGGCCCUUGUGGGGACACAGCUCUUGGCCAGGUGCACAGGGUCGCCUGCCCCCACGAGUCCAGGCCUGCGCUCUCGUUUCCUGGCUUCCUCUGUUGGUCCUUGGACCUCAGGGCCAUCCUGGAGUUCAGGGAGCAAAGGGGAAACGUGGCUUCCCCCAGGAGGGAGACAAGGGGCGCCCCACCCCCACCAUGCUGCAUCUACUGCCCCUCCCACUGCCUGUGUCCUCUCAGCUUUCCCUGUGUCUCCCCUUCCAUCUCCAGCUCCCGUCCACCUCUCUCUCCCUCUCUGGUCCUCUGAAAUACAAAAUGUGGCCCUUGGGGUGCCCUAGGCCCGCCCCCCCUCCUCUGGGUGUCCCAGCCCUAGCCUGACAAAAAGUGGGGCUCCGUAAGAGUAUGUGGGACGUCAGCUUGGCCAGGUGAGUGAGUGCACGGGCGUGACUACCAUCCCCAGCAGCCAGGCGGGCCCCGGGGACAGCUGCAGGCCAGGAGGGUGGCGGGCGGACUGGGCACCGGGGAGUGGGCAGCUUCCCCCCGCAGCCCUACUGAGGGCUCCCAGGUCGCGCCCUGCACUGACCCGCGCGUCCAUUCGGUCAUCCAACAGUUGAUCCUCACCGAGCAAGCCCACAGUCGUGGCCCCGGGCUUGGCACCCGCCACCUAGCUCGUCCCUUGAUGGCCUCUGCUUCCCGGGAGGGGCAGGCCGGGAGGUUGUCCCAGUGCCGGAGCCUGGGCUCCGGCUCUGGAGAGCUGGCAAGAGGGUGCAGGCGGGCCUGGGUGGCCUUGGCCUCAAACCUGCCCGCUGCUAGGGCUCUGCCUCUGCGCAGAGCUGGCACCUGCCCCCUCUGCCUCCCCACCCCCUUCCUCGAGCGAGUGGACAGCUGUUCUGACCCCUGGCCUGAGCCUCUCAGGGCCGAGUGGGCGUACGGGAACAGCUGUGGUGUGUCCCAGGCUCUGGCCUCAUGGUCUCCCUCUCGAGGUGGGGUCUGUAACCUGGACCAGUGUCCCACCCUGACUCCUUCCUCCCCCUGGGGCCCAGUCCAGCUCGGAGCCUGCUGGUCGCUGGCUGGGGCCUGGGUCCCUUUGCAAAGCACCCAGGGCUGGGAACGUCCAGGGAGCUCCUGCAGGUGCCGCUGUCCGCUCCGCCCGUGGCCCCGCCUUUCUCUGCUGGCCGGGUUGACCGCCUACCUGGUGCUCUGCUUACCUCUCUGGUCACGGCGCCAGGCCUCCUGUCGCCCCCUUCUCCACCUGCCCUGUCCACCCAGAAGGCCGCUUCUCCUUGCCGUGCUUAUUCCUGUGGCCGCCUGGGCCGGCCUGCUGCCUUCUGUCCUGCACACCCACUCCGCGAUGCCUCGGUUUCCCACAGGUUCCUCAGGCCUGUAG
rnacentral:lncRNA from 1 species